GCCUGGUCUAACCCCCUCUGGAGACAAAUGGAUACAGAACUAGUGGAGGUAUUGCUGCGUCCAAGGGAUUUUUCAUUGUCCCGGUCCAGCCAGACACAACCGAGGGGUCCGGGGAAACGGCAACCUAAGAACCCAUAGGGG